rnacentral:rRNA from 1 species
GGAGUCUGGGCCGUGUCUCAGUCCCAAUGUGGCCGGCCAACCUCUCAGUCCGGCUACUGAUCGUCGCCUUGGUGGGCCGUUGCCCCGCCAACAAGCUAAUCAGACGCGAGGCCAUCUCAGAGCGAUAAAUACUUUGGUCAGUCAGAGCCAUGCGACCCAACUGCAUCAUGCGGUAUUAGCACAAAUUUCUCUGUGUUAUUCCCCUCUCCAAGGCAGGUUCCUCACGCGUUACUCACCCGUCCGCCACUAAGAAUUCUCAUCACUUGUCCGAAAACUCGUUCAGAGGUUCUCCGUUCGACUUGCAUGUGUUAAGCACGCCGCCAGCGUUCAUCCUGAGCCAUGAUCAAACUACU